GCAAACUUGGUCAUUUAGAGGAAGUAAAAGUCGUAACAAGGUAACCGUAGGUGAACCUGCGGUUGGAUCAUUAGUAAUAAUGAUGACAUACCAAUGUUGGUGCUUACCGGCACCUUCUUGGGAGUCACUAACCUCUGUGCACUGUUUAUUGUAUCGGGCCUAUGUGAAGCAGUCUUUCGGGACGGUGAAUCGUUGGCCCACAGGACGGCUCUGCCGUGCAAACCCAAACCACUGUUUUUUUGACUGAUUUUGUUUCUUAGAAACCCAUUACAACUGUUAACAAUGGAUCUCUAGGCUCACGCAUCGAUGAAGAACGCAGC
rnacentral:misc_RNA from 1 species